rnacentral:rRNA from 2 species
AGCCUGAUGCAGCCAUGCCGCGUGUGUGAAGAAGGCCUUCGGGUUGUAAAGCACUUUCAGUCGUGAGGAAGGUGGUGUAGUUAAUAGCUGCAUCAUUUGACGUUAGCGACAGAAGAAGCACCGGCUAACUCCGUGCCAGCAGCCGCGGUAAUACGGAGGGUGCGAGCGUUAAUCGGAAUUACUGGGCGUAAAGCGCAUGCAGGUGGUUAGUUAAGUCAGAUGUGAAAGCCCGGGGCUCAACCUCGGAACUGCAUUUGAAACUGGCUGACUAGAGUACUGUAGAGGGGGGUAGAAUUUCAGGUGUAGCGGUGAAAUGCGUAGAGAUCUGAAGGAAUACCAGUGGCGAAGGCGGCCCCCUGGACAGAUACUGACACUCAGAUGCGAAAGCGUGGGGAGCAAACAGGAUUAGAUACCCUGGUAGUCCACGCCGUAAACGAUGUCUACUUGGAGGUUGUGGCCUUGAGCCGUGGCUUUCGGAGCUAACGCGUUAAGUAGACCGCCUGGGUAACGCGUUAAGUAGACCGCCUGGG